ACACACACACACAUACACAUAUAUAUAUAUAUAUAUAUAUACAUAUACAUACAUAUAUAUAUAUAUACUAGCAGCAUAGCCUGGCGUUGCCUGGGUAAUGUAAGAGCCCCUAGUAGGCAACGACUAAUCCCAACCUAGUCCUUUCCCCUCUAGGGAACGAAAGCGCAUGUGUAGGCUGCAAUGUCUUCUCUUCACUCGAAUACUUCUGUGUAUACGAUGUUCCUAGCUGUCGAGUUGCGUCCCCUAGACAGUC